rnacentral:rRNA from 1 species
AAUCAACGCUGGCGGCGUGCCUCAGACAUGCAAGUUGAACGAUUAAAGCUCUCUUCGGAGAGUGCAUAAAGUGGCGCACGGGUGAGUAACACGUAAGUAAUCUACCCUCGAGUGGGGAAUAACGUCCGGAAACGGACGCUAAUACCGCAUAACGCAGCGGCACCGCAAGGUGACAGUUGUUAAAGGAGAAAUCCGCUUGAGGAGGAGCUUGCGGCAGAUUAGCUUGNGGUAAGGUAACGGCUUACCAAGGCUACGAUCUGUAACCGGUCUAAGAGGACGGUCGGUCACACUGACACUGAAUAACGGGUCAGACUCCUACGGGAGGCAGCAGUCGGGAAUUUUGGGCAAUGGGGGAAACCCGUGACCCACGCAACGCCGCGUGAAGGAUGAAGUAUUUCGG